AAAAAUUAGUAUUGUUUUAAACGUUCAAGAUCUUGUGAGUACGCAAAUGAAAAGCAUAGAAAGCAACAUGAAAUAUUUGUAUAAUAUAGGGACUAUUCACAUAUUUUUCCUGCGGUCCAUAUUCCAUAAAGAGACAGAAAACUUUUGAGGGGCCUUCCUGUAAAAUUACCUGAACCACAUGGUCCAUAUCUAAACCCUACCGAACCCUAACUGCAACCUCUGCUUCUUCCCCGGCCCUCUCCUUCGCCAUCCCUUCCCGUCGCCGCCCCCGCAAGUGCUCUCUCUCUCUCUCUCUCAUAGGUACUUUUUCUCUCCUUUUUCCCUCACUCAUCGCCUCAUUUGAGAGAUGUAAUGAAAUAUGUAUAGUAAAUUAUUUCUUUACUUGCGAAAGAGGAGUUAUAUGUUAAUUGCACGACGUGAUAAUGUUAUGCUAUUGUACUAUUAGGUUUGGGGAUUUGUAUUGGUUUGCUCGUGCUCUCCUGCUUCUCUGUAGUUGGCUUUUUAUCGUUAUCCAGUGUUAAUGAGUUUCGAAUCUCAUAGUUAAUUCGCGAAUUAUUUGCGAAUUUUUGAAAUGCCGAAUUAAACACCCGUUUUCGAAUUUUUGCCAAAAAUUCGGAAUAAUUCGCUGUUUUUUGAGCAAAAAUAAUUAUUCGCGAAUAAAACGGAAUUCGCAAAUAAUUCGGCCAAAAAAAAUAGCCCUCUUGCUUGUCGACUGU
rnacentral:lncRNA from 1 species